rnacentral:rRNA from 1 species
UUUGUGACCAAACUUGUUGCUUCGGGGGCGACCCUGCCGACGACUUCGUCGCCGGGCGCCCCCGGAGGUCUUCUAAACACUGCAUCUUUGCGUCGGAGUUUAAACAAAUUAAACAAAACUUUCAACAACGGAUCUCUUGGUUCUGGCAUCGAUGAAGAACGCAGCGAAAUGCGAUAAGUAAUGUGAAUUGCAGAAUUCAGUGAAUCAUCGAAUCUUUGAACGCACAUUGCGCCCUUUGGUAUUCCGAAGGGCAUGCCUGUUCGAGCGUCAUUUCACCACUCAAGCCUGGCUUGGUAUUGGGCGUCGCGGUGUUCCGCGCGCCUUAAAGUCUUCCGGCUGAGCUGUCCGUCUCUAAGCGUUGUGGAUUUUUCAAUUCGCUUCGGAGUGCGGGUGGCCGCGGCCGUUAAAUCUUUAUUCAAAGGUUGACCUCGGAUCAGGUAGGGAUA